rnacentral:lncRNA from 1 species
GUGGGGAGAUUUCAGGCACUUCCGAGGGGGCGGCAUCCCCAGCAGGUGGGAUAGGCCCGGUGACUAGGACAAAAUCACGAAGAAGCCGCGGAUGCAGGAAGAGUAAACUCCCUUGUCAUAAAUCGAUUCUCCAAACGUUCAUCAAUAUGUGGAGACGUUUAUGAUAGUGAUGAAGAAGAUGAUAUGGGCUCUAGGAAUAUGCAUCUCAAAGCUGAUGAUCGAAGAAGAUUGGAGAGGGUUUUCAAGGCAGCCUGCUGUUUAAGGACCUGCAUUCUGAGUAGAUGUGUAUUGGAAAAGGCGAUUACAGUCACAAAGGGGACAACUUUUAUGCAAUUGACAGAGGACUAUAUGAUGUAUAUAAACAGAUAGGGUUGAAAGGUGUGUUGGUAACUACAAAACACAUGGGAAUUUGAAGGAAGGAACUGGCCUUAAAUGCAUGUACAAUACACCAAGAGAAGCUAAAAUUACUGCUUCAUCUUCUGUGGGUUCU